AUUGAACGCUGGCGGCAGGCUUAACACAUGCAAGUCGAGCGGGGGAAGGUAGCUUGCUACCGGACCUAGCGGCGGACGGGUGAGUAAUGCUUAGGAAUCUGCCUAUUAGUGGGGGACAACAUCUCGAAAGGGAUGCUAAUACCGCAUACGUCCUACGGGAGAAAGCAGGGGAUCUUCGGACCUUGCGCUAAUAGAUGAGCCUAAGUCGGAUUAGCUAGUUGGUGGGGUGAAGGCCUACCAAGGCGACGAUCUGUAGCGGGUCUGAGAGGAUGAUCCGCCACACUGGGACUGAGACACGGCCCAGACUCCUACGGGAGGCAGCAGUGGGGAAUAUUGGACAAUGGGGGGAACCCUGAUCCAGCCAUGCCGCGUGUGUGAAGAAGGCCUUAUGGUUGUAAAGCACUUUAAGCGAGGAGGAGGCUACUUUAGUUAAUACCUAGAGAUAGUGGACGUUACUCGCAGAAUAAGCACCGGCUAACUCUGUGCCAGCAGCCGCAGUAACAC
rnacentral:rRNA from 1 species